UAGGGAAUCUUCGGCAAUGGGGGCAACCCUGACCUAGCAACGCCGCGUGAGUGAAGAAGGUUUUCGGAUCGUAAAGCUCUGUUGUAAGAGAAGAACGUGUGUGAGAGUGGAAAGUUCACACAGUGACGGUAACUUACCAGAAAGGGACGGCUAACUACGUGCCAGCAGCCGCGGUAAUACGUAGGUCCCGAGCGUUGUCCGGUUUUAUUGGGCGUAAAGCGAGGGCAGGCGGUUUAAUAAGUCUGAAGUUAAAGGCAGUGGCUUAACGAUUGUUCGCUUUGGAUACUGUUAAACUUGAGUGCAGAAGGGGAAAGUGGAAUUCCAUGUGUAGCGGUGAAGUACGUAGAUAUAUGGAGGAACACCGGUGGCGAAGUCGGCUCUCUGGUCUGUAACUGACGCUGAGGCUCGAAAGCGUGGGGAGCAAACAGG
rnacentral:rRNA from 1 species